rnacentral:rRNA from 1 species
UACAGAGGUCUCAAGCGUUGUUCGGAUUCAUUGGGCGUAAAGGGUGCGUAGGCGGCAUGUUAGGUGAGGUGUGAAAUCCCCCGGCUCAACCGAGGAAUUGCGCUUCAAACCGGCGUGCUUGAGGAAGAUAGAGGUGGGCGGAACUGAUGGUGGAGCGGUGAAAUGCGUUGAUAUCAUCAGGAACACCGGAGGCGAAGGCGGCCCACUGGGUCUUUUCUGACGCUGAGGGACGAAAGCUAGGGGAGCGAACGGG